GGUCCUAUCACAGGGGCAGUAAGAAACUGACAGAUUUCUUUGCUUGGGAGACAGCUGUUCCUUCUCAGGUACUAUUAUUAAUAUGCCCUAAGGCAAUGUUUGCUCUGAAAUAUCUCUAAUUGAAAUAAUUUACCCUGAUCCUCAGAGAUUUAGGAAACUGUUUUCAUCAUGUUCGCACACAGCCAAAUAAUUAUGAGAUGCCAUAUGGAAAAGACAUCAUGUGGUCUAUGAAUUUCUCUGAAUGUAUACUUUUGAAAUAGUUCCCACCGAUAAGUUACCAAGCUAAAUUACAAAGAGGAGAUGGAUAACAGUAGUUCCUCGUUAGGUGGUUUUGGUUUAAAGCAGCCUCAGUCUCUGUAGGUUCGCAGUUGACUUUACAUGGAAUAGCUGCACAAGGCCUAGGACACAGCUCAUAAAAUAGUGGUGGAAUUAUCGGGCUGGAGUGCAAAAGGAACAAGGUGUCAAAAUUAUUGUGUUUUAAUUAGAAGCAUGGAGAAACAAAUGCGAAGUUGUCUAAAAGGUCAAGUAGGCGCAGCAAGAGUUAAUUUUGCAUUUGUUUCUAUGUGUGCAUACAUCUGAUUAUCACUGAAACAACUCCGGGAAUCGUGACUGCACACAAAAGAUAAUGUGAAUUAGUGGACAUUUGCCAGUUGUGUCUCUUGUAGCAAACCCUCCUUCCUUCAAAAUAGGUGUUGGGAUUGAGGUGGUUUUCAGGGGGGAAACAGUAGGAAGGGGCAGGGUGAAGUAUCAUCUUUCCGUGCACUGCUUCAUCACAGUACAUGCCUCCUCACAUUGCUUGGCUAUGCAGCAAUGUCAACACAGCUUCCCAUACUUAUGUUUGCUGCUAAACACUUAGGCCCCAUCCACACUAUAUUUUUUUAAAGCAGUGUUAUACCAUUUUAUGCAGCAUGGCUUCACUAUGACCCCAGCCCUUAAGUAGACAAAGCUUAUCCAACCCAGCUCAAUUUCAUAAUUUAGUUGCCCUGGAUACCUGCCUUGUCACAAAGCAGUCAUUUCUAGCACUGAAUUCAGCCUCACCCUCUUCCAAUAUUUCCAUCUGCUGAAGCAUUCCCACCCUUCAUCUCCAGAACUCAGGAUAGGCUGCAAUAUUUAAAACAGCAUCCAUAGAAGAGCAGAUUAAAACAGGUAGCAUAAAAACCUAACACCAAAAUGACACUUGUGGGUUAAUACCCCAUGAAGGCCCUGGCAGGCAGGCAGGCUAGUGCAGGGCAAGUCAUGUGACGCACAUAGUUCCAUCUUGUAGCACAGGGCUGGGGAUCCCUUGGCUCUCCAGCUCCCAUUAUUCAUCACCAUUGUUCAUGCUGGCGGCGGCUGCUGGGAGCUGGGAUCUGACAACAUCCCAAGGGUCAAACUUUCCCCUAGACCUGCUCUAACAUCUUGCCAUUGCUCUCUGCUCACCCACUCGGAAAAUCUGUCACCUGAGGUAGCUCUCUAACUCCGUAUAAUGGUAAAAGCCCAUCUCUCUACUUUUUAUGCUUCUUGUAGAAUGCAAAGUGUGGCUCAGGUUUGACCAAACUGCAGGAGGCAGUGAAAGACACAAGUGCCUGGCCUUCUCUGGUCCAUUGGGUCACGAAGAGUCAGACACGACUAAACGACUAAACAACACAGAAUGCAAAGUAGUGCAUGGGAAGAUCUAGCUCCUAGAGUUGCGCUGGGGCAUGACUCUGGCUUUUCUAUUUCUUAGCCUUGGGGUUUUUUAAAAAAGAAAGAAAGAAAAGCACACACAUUUAGUUGUACUGCAACACAACCAAUAAUGUCACCCCUGUUGUUUCUGUUAUACCACACACAUUUCUACUUCGUCAUCUUAAAAUAUCCCAUUAAAGUGUACUGGACUGCCACACACUUCAUCGUCUGACAAUUAAACAAAGGUAACAUUUUCAGAGAGUUAUGAAGUGUUAAUAUAUCUCUACACACUCAAACACACACACACACACACAAGCUUGGAAUACAUAUUUAUGGUACCCUUGUGCUUUCUGGUUCGGUUAAUGUAACACGGGAAAGGUAAAGCAUCUCAAAUUGCACAGUAUUCCUUCUUUUAAAAAAAAACACAAAACAAAAACAAAACUUGGGUCCUUUGGUGUGUAUCUUGAUUAAAGCACAGUGAGAAGGUCAUUGCCCAAACUUCAUCUUCCACACAGUUUCCCACAGCAUGUAUUCCUCACAGGGAACAUUUUCUCAGCUCAGGUUAUUUCCAGAAAUGUUCUCAAACCAAAAGAACAGUCCUUGCAGUAAAACAUUUCAUUCCCACUUUUUAUCCUUUAUCUCACAGUCCUCUGUUGACAGCACUUAUGUUUCUUCGAUUGACUGGGCCAAGAACAACAGAAUUAAUGAUGUUGUCUCUUUGUGAGUGCAUUAUGUUUUCUCUUCUCCCCUCCUUCUUCUGACCUUUCAAACAUGGGAAUCUUUUAUUUGUAAUUUUUCUUUAAAAGGGAGGGGAAGAGGACCUUCUCUGUUUACAUUGUUGCUGACACUUUCAAAGGUAUCUUGAAGCUGUGUACAUGCAAUAGGUGACCAUAUAACUGUUGGGAGAACUUUCCCAUGCAUUUUCUAUUUGUGCAUGCUCCCACACUUGAAAACCCCAGACAGAUGUGCACUGCAGUCCUUACUUUCUCAGAAGUAAUUUUCAGUGGUUUCAACAGGACAUAUUCCUGCAGGGCUCUAUUUUGUCCCCAGUGCUGUUGACAAUGACCAUUAGAAAUCUUGGGGAACGUGGCAUCAGCAUGCUGAUAAUACCCUGCUCCAUUUCUCCACUACGUCUAAUUCAGAUGAGACUGGAAGAUCAAGACUCUGAACCCUGGGAAGACAGAGGAUUUCUGAGUGGUUUUUAGAUCUGGGAUACAGGCCAGUUGCCUGCCCUGGAUGGGGUUGCACUGAAUCUGAAGGAGCAGUUAUGUAGUUUGGUGGCACUCCUUGAGACUCAGGUAGCCUCUCUGGCUAUGAGUGCCUUUGACGUGCUUUGGCUCUUAUGCCAGCUACGGGCAUUCCUGGAUAGGAUUAACCUCAGCACUGUAGUUCAUGCAUUGGUAACCUCAAGACUGGGUUAUUGUUGCAUGCUGUAUGUGGAGCUGCCCUUGGGUCUGGUAGCUUCAGCUAGAGCAGAAUGCUAUGGUUAGACUGGUGACUACCACCCACACAUGAUACCAGAGUUAACUGACAUCUGCUGCUGGACCAAGUUCAAGGUUCUCAC